AUUGAACGCUGGCGGCAUGACUUACAUAUGCAAGUCGAACGGCAGCACGGGUGCUUGCACCUGGUGGCGAGUGGCGAACGGGUGAGUAAUAUAUCGGAACGUGCCUUAGCGCGGGGGAUAACUAGUAGAAAGAUUAGCUAAUACCGCAUACGAUCUAUGGAUGAAAGAGGGGGAUAGCAAGAACACAUGCUCUUAGAGCGGCCGAUAUCUGAUUAGCUAGUUGGUGGGGUAAAAGCCUACCAAGGCGACGAUCAGGAGCUAGUCUGAGAGGACGACCAGCCGCACUGGGACUUAGACGCGGCCCAGACUCGUACGAGAGGCAUCAGUGGGGAAUUUUGGACAAUGGGGGCAACCCUGAUCCAGCAAUGCCGCGUGAGUGAAGAAGGCCUUCGUGUUGUAAAGCUCUUUUGUCAGGAAAGAAAUCCUAUGCGCUAAUACCGAGUGGGGAUGACGGUACCUGAAGAAUAAGCACCGGCUAACUACGUGCCAGCAGCCGCAGUAA
rnacentral:rRNA from 1 species